GUAAAGGGUUUGGAUUGCGGUAAAAAUCCCCCUUUUACCAUCAUUUGAGGAAAGUACCUUCUUUUCUGCUCUUACAGGGGCUGAAACUGAAGGGGAGAACACAUUUAUUUGCCCUUGUUGAAGUGAGGCGAGCACCUGAGUGUGGCGUCCGUGCUGGAGAGUGGGAGAAGGGUCCCUGCUGGCUGCCGUGUCCUGGGUGGGCACAGAGCUCUGACCUUGGCCAGAUGGGCUGGUCUCCGGGUGUUUUGAUCCUGACGCUGAACUGGGGCUCUUACCUGUGUGACCUGUGAAAUGUCCCGGAAGCUGAUCGAUGUCUUUGUGCUCCCGCUGUGUUCAUUUGGGCUGUGCUUCAGGCUUCUCUCCCGGGGCCCUUGCCGUUGCUGUAUCUCUUGGAUGCCGUGCAGAACGGAAUCAGGCAGCCAAGCCUCAGGUUCACCUUCUCCCUCACCCUCUGCGCUGCUCGUGUGGCACAGCAGAUCCUGAAGCCAGGUACUGGAACGUGCUGCGUGUG